rnacentral:rRNA from 1 species
UCCUACGGGAGGCAGCAGUGGGGAAUAUUGCACAAUGGGGGGAACCCUGAUGCAGCAAUGCCGCGUGUGUGAAGAAGGCCUGCGGGUUGUAAAGCACUUUCAAUUGGAAAGAAAAGGAGUUGGCUAAUACCCGACUUUCUUGACGUUACCUUUAGAAGAAGCACCGGCUAACUCCGUGCCAGCAGCCGCGGUAAUACGGAGGGUGCGAGCGUUAAUCGGAAUUACUGGGCGUAAAGCGUACGUAGGCGGUUGGGUCAGUCAGAUGUGAAAGCCCCGGGCUUAACCUGGGAACUGCGUUUGAUACUGCCUGACUGGAGUGUGGUAGAGGGAAGUGGAAUUCCGGGUGUAGCGGUGAAAUGCGUAGAUAUCCGGAGGAACACCGGUGGCGAAGGCGGCUUCCUGGACCAACACUGACGCUGAGGUACGAAAGCGUGGGUAGCAAACAGGAUUAGAUACCCUGGUAGUCCACGCUGUAAACGAUGUCAACUAGCCGUUGGGGACUUUAUGUUUUUAGUGGCGCAGCUAACGCGAUAAGUUGACCGCCUGGGGAGUACGGCCGCAAGGUUAAAACUCAAAGGAAUUGACGGA